GUAGAGCUACUGUACCCUUAUAAGUGUAAUAAUCUUUUUUAUAUUGAUAAGUUUUCAACCAUUGAAUGAAGAUAUGUACGGUUAAGAUGAUAGUGGUCUCCGGCUGGGAUAAUAGUGGUCCCGUAUGGUUGAGUCGAUGGUUGGUUGAAUAGUCUGAUCUAACAGGUGGAUGAUACUGGUCCCCUAGGUUGAGUGAGUGGUUGGUUGAAUAGUAUAAUCUAACGAGUGAAAAUGAUCAAAUGAGUAGAUCUAACGGUCGAAAAUUUAUAAUUAUAAAGGAACUUAUACUUAUAAAAAUAUAAUAGCCGGACUCAAUAUAAUAAUAUACUAAUAAAUAGCAUAGAUGGAUAAAAUUUUACAUCUUAUUUUAUUUUUUCAAACUAAUUUCAUUAUAUUUUAUUUUUUAAUAUUAAAACUUUAAAAGACUUAUUUAAAACAUUCCAA
rnacentral:lncRNA from 1 species